UCACUUUCAGUUUCAGGUUUUGUCUGCCACCGCUUUGACUCUCUCUUCUUGCCACUGUUUGUUCUAGAAAAAUCAUGUCGAGUGCUUCGCCCUGCUUCAUCUUCCCCUAUGAUUCUCCCCGUAUCAAUCAGCCUCGCCUUCGCCUUGCUCUGCCUCCACCCCUAUCCCUUGCCAUGAAUUCUUCCCCAGAUGAGCCUAGGGGUUGUCGCAUUUUGAUCAAGGAGAGAGAAGAGGAAAUACGAGGUCGGGUCGUCGCCGGCGGCACCAAGCUGACCAUAUAGCCAGCAUGUUCAUCCCCCACACCAAGAUUUUGGGAAUCAGAUCUGUAACAUGCCGGUCAAAUAGACCGUCACCGCCCCGAGCCGUAGACCUCCAUCUUCCCCGACCAGCUCCCAUCCAUGCCCUCCAGCACCAUCGGGUUUCCUCUGUGCCCCCAACAACACAGGCGAGCCCCUUGUCCUCUCUCUGCAUGUGUACCCCUAUCUAUGCCGCCUGUGCUCUAUGUAGGAGCAGGUGGAGCGGCCGCGGCCGGCGCACGCCCAUGAGGAGCCCGUGCCUGGAUUCGUGGGGUGUCUGUUACCUGAGGUCGUCGGUGUUGAAGGAGGAACAGGGCCGGCAACCAGAACAGGAGCUACAUGAGAUCCAUAACGAUCCCACUGAAUGUAGAGAUUAUCUAGCCAAAGGAUGGUAACCUGAGUACAAGUAUGUCUGCAGAAGAAAGAUACCUUUCCACAAGUUAUGGAGAUCUUAACAAGAAAAUAGGAUAGCCGAUUGAUGAAUUUUUCUUAGGUUUCCAUUUCAAAAAAUCGCUAUUCCCUCCUGCUAAGAUAUGUGAACAAGUACUUGGUGAGAAGACGGUACAAACGAGUAAGAUGCUUCUGUUAACUUUGAUUUGUUACUCUUCAGUUUUUCUUCUUUGGCAAACUACGCUUGAUAAAUAUUCAUUGACUUAUGUAUUUACCUAUUCAAUCUAUAUCUUUUCAGAUAACUUUUUGCCUUCAUAUUUUUCGUAGGAGGACGUAUAUCGUUCACUUUAUAGUUGUGGAAUUGAGUCAACUUACUAUUCUUUUUAUUGAUACUAAACAACUAUUAUGUUGGGGUUAAGAUCUUUCAUCAAUAUCUUACUAUUUUUCCUUCGGCGCACGCGUUGAGAUGCAUGAUUAAAAAAAGAUAAUUGUUGUCUAUACAUAUGUGCUCAUCUAAUAAAAUCCUUGGUCUAAAACAUCAGAAAGCAGAAGUACAAAUGUAAGAAUAUGUUCAUGCCCGUGGUCUUCAUGAAAGAUACUGUGCUUCUACUCUACUCAGAUAACUUAUUUAACUUACAAAAUUUCUCCACCCAAGAUGAAGAUGUUAGUGAAAGCAUAUUGACUAUUGAGUCAUAUCUAUUUUAUCUUCAUGGUUUGCAGGUUUUAAUUUUCCAGUGUAGCUAUAAUUGAAUAGUAAUUCAGAUGAUGCGUACCAAAGCUCUUUAUAACCAUAUAACCCUUCUGACCUUUUUUUUUUUUGGUAGACUUAGUGAAACUACAUGCUCGGUACUAGGAGCUUGCCUGCUUUAUCACUAUGCAUAAUUAUUAAUUGCUAAUUAGCCUACGCGAAGUCUUUAAAAACCCAUAGGAUGACAUGCCUGCUUUCAUAUUUGAUGCAUCAUGUUUAUUCUGUUUAGGUGAGAGCAUUUCAUAUUUCUGGCAUUAGCUUUACAGUAAGCAGAAGAAAGUACCAGGCCUUGUGCAUUAGUCCCUUCAGCAAUUAUCAUGCUUUCAAAUGAGUGGAUGCAAGGCACACAGGUGGCCGGCUGCUGCUGCUGCUGCUCUCUCUCUCUCUCUCACCUUGUGUUGCUCUUCGUAGGAUGACGUCAUGGCUGAGAUGUGCAUGCAGGGAGGGAUAGUCGUGGACAGGGUGGGUCGACCACAAGAUCUCCGAGGGCUUGGCCUAGACAACCUGGGAGGGUCGGCGAUGUCCACAAGGAGGAGUCCGCGAGCAAGGAUGGUCACACCGUCAAGUCUGCUCCGGAGACCGCCUAGCUUGCCGCCUCCGGGACGACAAGCGGAAAGGGAGGGGACACAAAGGAGGUGGCGGAGAAGUUCGGGCAGACCAAGGACACGGCAAGGGAGGCACUGAGAGGGUCAUCGGGCGAGCCUGUUGUGCUCCUUGGCCCACUCCAAUUUGCUCACCCUUCUCUUCUUGUUCUCUUUGGUAUGGCUCUGCUGAUAGGAUCUUUUUUUCCCUCAUAGAUUGAUGAUUGAAGUAUUUGCUUUUCUCUCCUCUUUUGUAUGUUCAAAUUAGAUAUAUUUAUCUUGCUUUCAUACCGUCAAGGGUGGCUUCACCAUAAAGCUCCGUUCUCCUGGAAUUUAUAUCCUCAAAAUAUUCAACUCAUGGUUUAUUUGUUUUUAGAGCUUCUUAUUUAAAGCAUUUGAGUUGCUUAAUUAGUCAUGUAAUGCCAGAUAUUAUGCUUAUGGCUUAUAGGUCGGCAGAUAUGCUUAUUAAACAUUGAUUUUCCUGAGUCCUGAGUUCUCAUGUUAACGAGAGGUGCAUUUUGAAUAAUUUCCAGUAAAUAAAUGUGUGGGAGCACGGAAGUAAACUUUGUUUCUGGGUCUGCUUGCAAAUUUCAUAUUGUUCUCUGAAUCUUUUAGGUAAUCAUGGCAUACUUUCUCUGAAGGAAAUUUUUGGAUUAACCGUUUACUUGGGUGCAUUUAAUACAGGAGGACUUUAUAGUGUUUUUCACAAUUAUUCUUGCCAACAUAUAAUCCUAUGGCUUUCAUGUAUGGUCACGUUUUAUGUGGGUGAGAUUUGUAUAUGCAUAUAUAGGAUUAUUAUGAACAUCAUGAUGCAUGUUUCAAACUGGAGGUUUCAUGCCAAUUCUUCUUGUGCAUUUAGGUGAGGGCUUAAUCUUACAUAAGGGAUUGUAUUUAUGCAUUUUUAUGUAAUCAUUGGUUCAACUGGGUUUGAUAAAAUUAUGCUUGAUAAUUACUCUUUUGAUUAAAGCAUUUUCUCUACAGUCCAGUAUGAGCUAAUUUAUUCUUGUGUGUUCGUGAUAGUUUUUGUUGUCGCGCCUAUUUUUAUGUAACCAGGCUUGGAAAGGAUUUGUUGGAGGCAAGUCGAUGUAUUUGGGUACUGUUUGGUACACUUUGACAUACAUGUUGGCUUCUUGCUUUCGCUUAACUGUUCUGCAUUGUUCUCAAAUUAAUUCCCUUAAGUGUUGGAUUUUGUAAAUGCUGCCACUAUCAUUGGGGAUAGUUUGCUGAUGAUAAUCAACCGGUAAUUUACUAUUAUGUACAUUAUGCUAAUUUAUCUCAAUGGUUCGUGGUAUGUAUCUUGACUCAUCUACUGUCAAUUUGCAUCCAUGGCGUGGAGGAGUUGUUGAAUGCCCUUCCAAGACACUUUAAUCCGAGCCGAAGGUUUCUCUUGAAAGGUAACAGCAAGUUUGACGUCAUCAAGGCGGGCUUGGGCUUAUUCUUCAGCAUCAACACACCAUCGCACCGUUCAACAAGAUGUCGAGGAGAGAAUUGGACGCUGCCGCUAUGAUCAGGAGCCGCCAGGGCAUUGUUCGCCUCCCAUGUCUACUCAAUAAACGGGGCAUCAACAUUGAUUUUUGUGUAGUUAGUAAUUGGACGAAGCCAAAGCCAACCUUUAGCAGAAUAAGAAAUAGAGGUUGAGUUUAUAGGAGCCUGAUGUAAAAUACGAGCGCCGAACAGAGCCUGACUUUUCUCUAUUCAAUGAAAACAGAGUUGACACUUAUGAAUA